UACGGAGGGUCCAAGCGUUAUCCGGAAUCAUUGGGUUUAAAGGGUCCGUAGGCGGUUUGAUAAGUCAGUGGUGAAAUCUUUCGGCUCAACCGAGAAAUGGCCAUUGAUACUGUCAGACUUGAAUUAUUAGGAAGUAACUAGAAUAUGUAGUGUAGCGGUGAAAUGCUUAGAGAUUACAUGGAAUACCAAUUGCGAAGGCAGGUUACUACUAAUGGAUUGACGCUGAUGGACGAAAAGCCGUUGGGUAGCGAACAGG
rnacentral:rRNA from 1 species